UACAUGAAUAAAUAAGUCUAAAAUAUAGAAUAACAAUUUUUCAUGUGAUACUUCGUUUUCGAGAAAAUCGACUUUGAAUUUUCGCCGGGUAUGCGUGCACUUAACCAUGUCUUGUUAUAGCGAAUCCCACUAUAGAUGAUUGUUUCGAUGGGUAUUAUUGCAGUUUAAAUAUCUUUUUAUCGAAACGGAAAAUUAGAAGC